UGCAAGUCGAACGAACCUUUCGGGGUUAGUGGCGGACGGGUGAGUAACACGUGGGAACGUGCCUUUAGGUUCGGAAUAACUCAGGGAAACUUGUGCUAAUACCGAAUGUGCCCUUCGGGGGAAAGAUUUAUCGCCUUUAGAGCGGCCCGCGUCUGAUUAGCUAGUUGGUUGAGGUAAUGGCUCACCAAGGCGACGAUCAGUAGCUGGUCUGAGAGGAUGAUCAGCCACAUUGGGACUGAGACACGGCCCAAACUCCUACGGGAGGCAGCAGUGGGGAAUCUUGCGCAAUGGGCGAAAGCCUGACGCAGCCAUGCCGCGUGAAUGAUGAAGGUCUUAGGAUUGUAAAAUUCUUUCACCGGGGACGAUAAUGACGGUACCCGGAGAAGAAGCCCCGGCUAACUUCGUGCCAGCAGCCGCGGUAAUACGAAGGGGGCUAGCGUUGCUC
rnacentral:rRNA from 1 species